rnacentral:misc_RNA from 1 species
UUGUGAAAUAUGAAAUAUCCUCGUCAUCAAGCUCCAUCGCCUUCGUGUAAUGCGCUAUUGCAGUCUCGAAAUCCUUUGUCUUAUAAGCUGCAUUCCCCAACUCCUUCUCUUUCACCGCUUGAGCUUUCCUCUCCUUCGUUUCUUUCUCCUCUUCUGAGACCUCCAUUGGUUCUGGCUCUGGCUCAGGAACCUUCUCCUCCUUUGCUGACUCUGGCUUUCUCUCCGGCUGAGGAGGAGGCGACUCGGCUUCCGGCACCUCCAUAUCUUCUCCAGCAUUUGGUGCUCUGAAUUUCACGUUCAAUAAAACACCCAAGGCUUGCAUCACUCUCUGAUCUUUCAAGUACAGAUUCAAAUUGCUAGGAUUCUUUUGAAUCUCCUGCAUCAUCUUAACAAAAUCCGGUUGCUGCAGAAACAUCCUCGUAGUUGGAUCCGCCGUCAAUUUGGCCCACAUCUCCGGCCCAGAGAAGGCAUCCCCAAACGGACUCGGCGGCGGCACGGCUCGCGACCUGGAAGCUGCGGCCUGAGCAUCAGCCAAACCGGAUUUCAACGCUUCAUUGUUGGGAUCAAUCUCGAGUCCCUUCUUAUACGCCGCGAUAGCAUCCUGAAUUUGGUUUAAUCCCAAGUGUGCCGCGCCAAGGCGGGAAUACCCUUUAGACCAGUCGGGCUUAAGCUCGACGGUCUUCUUGGCAUCGGUUAACGCGUCAGCGUAUUUGUGAAGAGAGGCAAGAGCCGCGGAUCGGUUAGAGUAGAGGACGUGGUUAGAGGGAGCGAGUGAUAUUGCUUCACUGAAGUGUCUGACGGCGCCGGCAUAAUCGCCGGCCGAGAAUGCGGCGUUACCUUUGGCUUUGGCUUCGUCAGCCAUAGAAAGAAAGCUCGAGGAAAAGACAGAAGUCGCAAAAGAGUGGGCUCUGGGGGAUUUCGAAGAAAUUGAGAUAUGGGAGCAGUGACUUAAGAGAGAAGCAUGGAUAAAGAGAAGAGACCGGCAUUAUAAGAAAGAAGGUCAAGGACCAGAGAGUUCUGGUGAUUCGUGAAGAGGGUGUUCUGGAAUGUUCCGCGGCAUAAACGAGGGCUUGGAUUCGCUCGUGGGUGGUUCACAGAUUGGUGGUGUUUGGAUGCGCUUGUAUGGAAAUAUUAUCUAGAACGCAGCGUUUUGUAAACUGAAUGCAACCCGAU